rnacentral:tRNA from 1 species
GGAUUAUGGCUCAGUGGUAGAGUGCUCGCCUAGCAUGGGCGGGACCUGGGUUUGAUCCUCAGCACCA